rnacentral:rRNA from 1 species
GACGAACGCUGGCGGCGUGCCUAAUACAUGCAAGUAGAACGCUGAAGGAGGAGCUUGCUUCUCUGGAUGAGUUGCGAACGGGUGAGUAACGCGUAGGUAACCUGCCUGGUAGCGGGGGAUAACUAUUGGAAACGAUAGCUAAUACCGCAUAAGAGUGGAUGUUGCAUGACAUUUGCUUAAAAGGUGCACUUGCAUCACUACCAGAUGGACCUGCGUUGUAUUAGCUAGUUGGUGGGGUAACGGCUCACCAAGGCGACGAUACAUAGCCGACCUGAGAGGGUGAUCGGCCACACUGGGACUGAGACACGGCCCAGACUCCUACGGGAGGCAGCAGUAGGGAAUCUUCGGCAAUGGACGGAAGUCUGACCGGGCAACGCCGCGUGAGUGAAGAAGGUUUUCGGAUCGUAAAGCUCUGUUGUAAGAGAAGAACGAGUGUGAGAGUGGAAAGUUCACACUGUGACUUUAUCUACCAGA